CGAUGCACCUUCUGCUUCGACUUCCGCUUCUCGACUCUUCUGCUUUAUUCUGCUUUCCCUCAUCCAAAAAAAAUAAAGAAAAAGAUCGCUGCUUCUCCUACUCUCUCGCUCUCUCCAACAAUUUUAAGGAUUGCUGCGUGCUUCAGAUUGAUUUCUGGAAAUUGGAGGAACUGAUGAAAUUGGCGUUUGAAUUUUAGGGGAGGUUGAGUUCUUUAAUGUUUCUGAUGAGUUUCCUGUGUACGAAGUGCUUUCCAUCUCCCAUUUUCUUGAUUUAUUAAGGACUUAUUUGCAUUUUGUUGGAUUUGUAAAUGGGAAAAUAUCAAAGUGAGAAAGAAGCAGCUCUUGGUUUCUUACAGGGAAGCAUAUGCAGCACACCCAACUGAAACAUUGAGUGAGGUACUCAAGUAUAGAACCUGGGUAUCAACCAAGGACUGAUAUCAAUUCUACACCAAGUCCCAGAAGGUCAUGGUGGGGUAUAUUGGAGAGGAGGCGCUCUUCUGAAGACAAUUACAGAUCCAAGUGAUGUGCAUUGAGAAGUUGCUUGCAUAGGGCCUUAAAUUUGCCUGCUUCUCAUUAUUUCAAAUUUCAGGUUUUCAUCUCAAGUUGCCUCUGGUCACCCAUUUUGAACCCGUUCAAGUGACCCUACAGACUGAUCAGGUAACUUUGGUAAUCCAUGUUUGGAUGAUUGAGGAUUCUGUCUUUCCCUUCAUUAUAGCUUUGAAAGCUUCUGUUAGCAACAUUGUAGGUAAGGGAUAUUCCAUGCGGUACAAAAGGGAGUGUCAUGAUCAAACAAUUUUGAGAAGAUUGAGGUAAGGCUAUGCGAUAUUAUUCUUUAGUAUUUGUAUAUUAGUUUCACUUAGUUGAAGGUCUUGAAAAACUCCAUUUAAUAAAUCCAAAACGUGUAUUCCUUUAGGAGCCGUUUGAUAACCAUUUGGUUUUUAGUUUCAAGUUUUUGUUUAGAUUUAUUUUUGGGCAUUUAACAUAACUUUACUUUAGUAUAUGUAGAUUUAGUAUUAAAAUUUAGUAUAAAGUUAUAUAUUAUCUUCUUCUUAGGUUCUUCAAGCAUUUAGCUUCUUAGAAUAUCAUUUUUGAAAAAACUGGAGUAGUGCAUUUUUUAGUGUGGCCUAACUUCCUUUUCAUUGAAGUGGGAUUUUUGAGAGGGACUGGUGGAUCUUUGAAAAGGAACUUGGUAGAAAUUCCUUAUUACACUAUUCUGUCUCAAAAGUUGUGAAUUAUAUGCAGGUAUGGAUGUUGUCUUAGCAGAUCGUUGUUUUAAACAACUGACUCAUUUUUUGCUAUUACUUUUCAGAUUUUACUUAUGUAAAUACUCUCUCUUCAUUUUUCAGAUGGUUGACAAAUUGGAUGAUGAAACCAUGGCAAUAGAAUUUGGUCCAUCUGAUUUUAAAGAGGCCCUAUAAGGGUGUUGGAAGAGCCCUCUUCUGAGCACAUGUCGAGGGUCAACUAAAGAAACUUGGUUGCAAGGCAAGUUGGAAGCGCAAAAAAGUUUGAUCGCGUCCUAUAGAAUUGCCAGAGAAGGUCAUCUCCAUUUUGUGCAAAAUCAGACUUCUUUCUGCACACGAAAAUACUAGGUAAGCACGCAUCAUCCUUAUUUUGUUCAUGAUAUAAUUCUACAAUCUAUAAAUUUAUCUCAAUUUUUUUUCCUUGCCUGGGAUGCUUCCUUAAUGACCAACAUAGCAGAGCACAACUUUUAGUGUUGCAGUAAACAACAUUUCCCAUUAAUGUUUUUGGAUAGGAAGUGUUUUUUCGUAUCCAAAGAACUUCGUAAUAUUUUUAAUAGACGAAAUAGGUUUCUCUUUUGAUAUUUAAAUUUGUUUCAUUCAUGAUGAGGUUGUGUAUAAUUUGUAUUGGCAUUGGUAACUCAGUUUUUGACGCAAACAUUGUUUAUGAAGAUUGAAAUUGUAUAAUCUUUCAUAUAGUUUUCAAUCCCGCAGCGACGCGUGCGUACAAAUUUUAGUGAUCAUCUAAACUUCAUCAGUUCAACGUAUUGGAUUUAAAGUAAAAUGAUACCAACUUAGAGGAAAUAUUCUACCAAAGUUCUAGACUUCCAGGUACAAUAUACCAACACUAUCUGGAGCAAUAGUUAUGUCAUAAUUUAAUAUAUCUAGGGACAGUGUCAUACAUUUAUUUUAAACUUGUGGCCUAUCAUAGGACAGUAUACGUAUAUUUAGUUGGCCUAAUAUUUUUCUUUAAAAUUCAAGUCCAACUUAAUAUACGUAAACUACGUAGGAAAAUUUUAUUUGAAUCUAUAUAACCUCUUUCUACAUCCAACUUAUUCUUUACACCUAUAUAGUUUUUGAUUGAACUAUCAACAAAUGUCUCUUUAAACCCAAUUUUAUUACCUAAACUACUCUCACAAACUUAAUUUAAUAUGUAAAUUUAUCUUUACACUCAUUUUGAAAAUAAAAACUCAAAAUCAGUGUUCUACAAUUUGUUUUCCACAACUCGUUGAUUGAGAGUGUAAUGUCCAUGCAUCUAUGGAGUCGUGUUUGAUGAAUUGGUCAAACAAGCAAUCUAGAAUCGGGAAGACAAGAUUAGAUGAGGUAAUUAAUGUUAGAUUGUAGAGAUUAGCAUAGGAUUAUGCCAAGUGUUAUGUAUUAGAUGUGUGUUAUGUGUCACAAGUGUAUUAGGUGAGUUAGUUAUGUGUGGAAAAUUAUUUAUAUAUAAACAAGAGAUGUAAUAUUUAGAUAGUUAUGAAGUGAAAUAUUACAAUCAGUUUCUCUCUCUAAACUUUCCUCUCUACUUCUCUCUCUAAAGUCUCUCUGUAAGCUUUGUUAACAUGGUAUCUUCGCUGGCGACUGGUAACUCCAUUCGUUGACAACGAUCUCUGCACCUGUGCUUCCGCUCGUAUUGGUAAGUGGUGGUGCUUUUGUAUACUUCUCUGUCUUUCGGUGUUUGCUCAUUGAAGCUAUGUCGGUGUGCAGUCAAUGCUAUGUCGGUGCAGGAAGUCGGUGAUUAACUUCUUGAUUCUUGUUUUCUUUGAAGGAUUUGUGUUGUGCUUGUUGAAUGAUUCUUGAUUCAAUCACAUUCAACUGUCGGUGUGUUCUUGA